UAUGAAGAACGUAGUGAAAUGCGAUAAGUAGUGUGAAUUGCAGAAUUCAGUGAAUCAUCGAAUCUUUGAACGCACAUUGCGCCCCUUGGUAUUCCAUGGGGCAUGCCUGUUCGAGCGUCAUUUGUACCUUCAAGCUUUGCUUGGUGUUGGGUGUUUGUCUCGCCUUUGCGUGUAGACUCGCCUUAAAAUAAUUGGCAGCCGGCGUAUUGAUUUCGGAGCGCAGUACAUCUCGCGCUUUGCACUCAUAACGACAGCGUCCAAAAGUACAUUUUACACUCUUGACCUCGGAUCAGGUAGGGAUACCCGCUGAACUUAAGCAUAUCAAUAAGCGGAGGA
rnacentral:misc_RNA from 1 species